CACGUAGGGUGCGAGCGUUGUCCGGAAUUAUUGGGCGUAAAGAGCUCGUAGGCGGUUUGUCGCGUCUGCUGUGAAAACCUAAGGCUCAACCUUGGGCUUGCAGUGGGUACGGGCAGACUAGAGUGGCGGUAGGGGUGACUGGAAUUCCUGGCGUAGCGGUGGAAUGCGCAGAUAUCAGGAGGAACACCGAUGGCGAAGGCGGGUCUCUGGGCCGAUAAUUGACGCUCGAUGCACGGAAAGCGUGGGGAGCAAACAGG
rnacentral:rRNA from 1 species